GGCGGGACUUCCCGUUUCCCUGAAGAAGCACUUCCGGCCAGAGCCGGAAGCUGUCUGGGGCCGGACGCGUGAGAGGGGCAGUAGCUCGGACGCUCUGGCCAGCUGCGGGCAGAUCUCCUCAUAUUUUGGAUUCUGGCUAUGUUAUAAUGAAUGACACUUUGACAUCAGAUGUCACUGGUCGGAGAGUUGAAGUUAAUGGAGAACAUGCAACUGUGCGUUUUUCUGGCAUUGUCCCUCCUGUGGCAGGUCUCUGGUUAGGAGUAGAAUGGGACAAUCCUGAAAGGGGAAAGCAUGAUGGAAGCCACGAAGGGACUGUGUAUUUUAAAUGCAGGCAUCCAACAGGAGGAUCUUUUAUUCGUCCAAACAAAGUAAAUUUUGGAGUAGACUUUCUCACUGCAAUUAAGAAUCGCUAUGUGUUAGAAGAUGAACCAGAGGAAGAAGAAAAAGAGCAAACUGUUAUAAUUGGAAAUAAACCUGUAGAAACCAUUGGUUUUGACUCUGUUGUAAAACAACAAAGUCAGUUGAGCAAGCUGCAGGAAGUUUCUCUGAGGAACUGCGCAGUAAACGGUGCUGGUGACAAACGAGGAAUUGCCCAAGCGUGUCCUAAUAUUAGAAGCAUAGAUUUGUCAAAAAACCUGUUGUCAUCAUGGGAUGAUGUCAUAGCUAUUGCUGAUCAGCUCAAACACCUGGAAGUUCUGAAUCUCAGUGAAAAUAAACUAAGAUUUCCCUCUGGUCUACCAUCUCCAACCGGAACAUUUUCUAUGCUGAAGGUUUUAGUGCUUAACCGGACAGGAGUAACAUGGGCAGAGGUGCUCCGCUGUGCCUCUGGGUGGCCAGUCCUUGAGAAACUGUACCUUGAGUCUAACAAUAUCAUCAUUUCAGAAAGGCCAGCUGACGUUCUACAGACGGUCAAGUUACUAGACCUUUCCUCUAAUCAGUUGAUUGAUGAAAACCAGCUGUUUCUAAUAGCUUAUCUGCCCAGAUUAGAACAACUAAUCCUUUCUGACAUUGGAAUUUCCUCUCUACAUUUUCCGGAUGCUGGAAUUGGGUGCAAAACAGCCAUGUUUCCUUCCCUACAGUACCUUGUGCUCAAUGACAAUCAGAUAUCACAAUGGUCCUUUAUCAAUGAGCUGGAUAAGUUACAGAGUCUGCACGCUCUGUCCUGUGCCAGAAACCCGCUGACUGAAGAAGGCAGCAAAGACGCGCAGACCACUCGUCAGUUCAUCAUCGCCAAGAUCGGCCAGCUGCGGACCCUCAACAAGUGUGUGAUUCAGCCUGAGGAACGGCGCGGGGCUGAGCUUGACUACCGAAAAGCAUUUGGAAACGAAUGGAAAAAGGCCGGUGGACAUCAGGAUCCAGACAAAGACAGACCCAACGAGGAAUUUCUUGCAGCGCAUCCUAGAUACCAGUCACUUUGCCUCAGUUCGUAUACUUGUGCCCGUGCCCUGGCCUGCAGGGCUUUCCUCUGGGGCAGUUUCCCUUGGGUGUCAAAGGAGACCCUCAGUGUUGUUGCUUUUCUGCUUUGGGGAUUUUUAUGCUCAUCUAAGUGGACAGCCGGGGCACCUGUGGCCCCCUGGAAGCAGAUCAUUAAUCUCUCAGCAGAAGGAAGCUGGGAAGUCUGGGGCUUUCUGGAAGGGAGAGCCUGGUAUUUGAGGAGGGGAAAGCUGCUCUUAAAAUGGCAGUUCUCAUCUUGGUGCAAACUCACCAGACUCUCGUUCUCAGGAGGUGUGGGGCACCAUUCCCACUUUAGGAAGAGCAGGAAGUGCCCCACUUCAUCCCAACCCUGGCUGUGCCCGCGCGAGUUUUUAAAUGAAGGGCUUUUAUUUAUUGAUUGUCUUUUUGCCUUUUCUAGGGCCACUCCUGGGGCAUAUGGAGGUUCCCAGGCUAGGGGUCUAAUCGGAGCUAUAGCCACCACGGGCUACGGCAGAGCAACAGCAACGCAGGAUCCAAGCUGCGUCUUCGACCUACACCACAGCUCACAGCAACGCUGGAUCCUUAACCCACUGAGCAAGGCCAGGAAUCGAACCCACAAUCUCAUGGUUCCUAGUCGGAUUCAUUAACCACUGAGCCACGACGGGAACUCCUAAAUGAAGGGCUUUUAAAGUGUAACCCAGGCCUUGGCAUUCUUCAUGCUCCUCGGGUAAUUUUACCAUUCCUGGAAGUUGAGUGCAAUUUCUCCUGAGUGCUCUGUUCUGAGGGCUCCCCAGGCCUGGCUCCUUGGCCCUGAAGCUCCACCUUCAGGACCCUUUGUUUUGACUUCCAUUUUGUUUUGACUUAUUAUUCCAAAUUUCACUUCUAUGUGAUUUUCUUUUUUAUGUAUUUCCUAAUGUGAGCAGCUUACUGCAUAAAUGCUUCAGGCUGGAGCAUUAUCUUUGAGGGAGAAAAGUUGCCUGUGGGAAUUGCUUUCAAAUUAUUCCAUUAGCUGGCCCAAUUUCCUGGCCACUUUACAUGAAUUCUGAAUCACUUGGGGGUUGGGGUAGGGGUGGGGGGAGGUUCCCGAAGGUCUGGCUCAAUAUCUCCCCGCUAAGAAGGUAGAAGACAAAGCCGACACUUGGGGGGAAUUUAGACAUUGUGUCCCAGGGGCCCAGCAGGAGUCAGAGCAAAGGGGCUGCUUUCCUCAUGCCUCCCAUAGAGGCUGCUUUUCCUGGCAGCACCCAGACCACCACUGGCCAAGUGACUAAAAGCUGGUGAAGGUGCCUGAGUCAUGUUUCUCUCAGGACCCAGAAAGGGGGAACUGUUACCAAAAGGCGAGACUGAUUCAGCAUUUUAAGAUUUGAGAAGAGAGCCUGUUUGUCAGGAUGCCGUCUCUGAGGAUCAGUGGUCACAGAUGACAGGGGGAUUCUGGGCUUAGAAGCGGCUACUGUCCAUUCCUGCAGGAAUACACUAGACAAGUAACUGAAUUAAAUGAAGCAGGGCCAGGUUAGCGCCCGGCUGCUGCUGGCUUCAUCCUGGGAAGGGAAAAGGCUAUGUGGAUACUUAACUCACCUUUCUCCCUGACAGUGGCCUUUUGGGCUAUCAUUCAUCUUUUUGUAUUUCUUCUUCAACAGAAUAUGGUGCACCUGAAGAUGGGGAACUCAAAACACCACAACCAUUUUUGCUCAGAAACGAGCUACUAACACUGAGAUAAAAUAUCCUAAUCAACUUGGUCAGAGAGUCAUAGAGAAACAACUGCCAGAAUCCAUGACAGUUCAAAAGGUGAAAGGCUUCCUGUCGCGUCUCCUCAAAGUGUCUGUGUCAGAACUUCUCUUGUCCUAUGAAAGUCCCAAAAUGCCGGGCAGAGAGAUUGAACUAGAAAAUGAUCAGCAGUCAUUACAGUUUUAUUCUAUAGAAAAUGGAGACUGUCUAUUAGUGCGAUGGUAGCAGCCAACUAAGAAAAUCCAGAGAUUAGAAAAUUCAUUUAUCAUGACUGGACGUAAAUGACUUCUUGGGACAGUUAUGUCCAAAAAAAAGGUUUCACCACUUAUCCUAAAUAGAAAACAGCUGUUAUUUUUCAUAGGGCAAAGACCAAGGCUUGUAUAUAUAAUAGCAAUAAUAAAAGCUUUGCAUCUACUAA